rnacentral:rRNA from 1 species
GAUGAACGCUGGCGGCGUGCCUAAUACAUGCAAGUCGAGCGAACAGACGAGGAGCUUGCUCCUUCGACGUUAGCGGCGGACGGGUGAGUAACACGUAGGUAACCUACCUAUAAGACUGGGAUAACUUCGGGAAACCGGAGCUAAUACCGGAUAAUAUUUCGAACCGCAUGGUUCGAUAGUGAAAGAUGGCUUUGCUAUCACUUAUAGAUGGACCUGCGCCGUAUUAGCUAGUUGGUAAGGUAACGGCUUACCAAGGCAACGAUACGUAGCCGACCUGAGAGGGUGAUCGGCCACACUGGAACUGAGACACGGUCCAGACUCCUACGGGAGGCAGCAGUAGGGAAUCUUCCGCAAUGGGCGGAAGCCUGACGGAGCAACGCCGCGUGAGUGAUGAAGGUCUUCGGAUCGUAAAACUCUGUUAUUAGGGAAGAACAAACGUGUAAGUAACUGUGCACGUCUUGACGGUACCUAAUCAGAAAGCCACGGCUAACUACGUG